UAGGGAACUAGCAAGUUCAUUUGAAAAUGCUUUUUAACUGUUUGACUGCAUCUGUGUUUUGCUACAUGAAGCUUACAACACUGAAGAAACCCUGAGCCCAGCAUCCCUGCUGUACAGUGAGAUAAAGCUCAUCUGACACAGACACACUUCCAGUUCUUAUCAUUCUGAUCUUUAAAAAAGGUACCAUCCUCUGUCAUUUUCUAAGAGCGCUGAGCAACUGUGACCAAGUCAGGCUGAGAGCAAGAGCCUUUGAAGUAUAGCUAUGUGUGGACCAGCCACGUCUUCUACACAGUGUCCUAGGAGAAAUACAUUUUGUUUUCCUUUUCCGUUGGAGUCAUUUUAAAAUGGAUACUUCUUGUAGUUAUUUGGUAACAUGAGGUUCUACCAAUUUUCACCCAUGUAUAAA